rnacentral:tRNA from 1 species
GGAGAGAUGGCCGAGUGGUCGAAGGCGCUCGCCUGCUAAGCGAGUGUAGGGCGAAAGUUCUACCCAGGGUUCAAAUCCCUGUCUCUCCG